rnacentral:rRNA from 1 species
GACGGAGGGGGCAAGCGUUGUCCGGAAUCACUGGGCGUAAAGCGCACGUAGGCGGGGCGGUGCGUCGGUGCUGAAAGCGCCAGGCUUAACCUGGCGAGGCGUGCCGAUACGACCGAACUCGAGGCAGACAGAGGGUGGCGGAAUUCCGGGUGUAGUGGUGAAAUGCGUAGAGAUCCGGAGGAACGCCGGUGGCGCAAGCGGCCACCUGGGUCUGACCUGACGCUGAGGUGCGAAAGCGUGGGGAGCAAACCGG